rnacentral:misc_RNA from 1 species
CAGAGUUGCAAGACUCCCUAAACCAUUCGUGAAGCCUACCUUCUACCGUGUGCUUCGGCGGGCGGGCGGGCCCAGCCGCCCCCCCCCGGCCCCCCGCGGGGCGCGCCGCCCGGAGGGAUACCCAAACUCUUGACAUCUAGUGGCCUCCUCUGAGUAUUCUUUAGCUGAAUAAGGUCA